GUCUACAAGGCUGUAAGAGGGGAAUGGCCAGGCUAUUGGAUUCCAUGCUGACCUCACACUCAGGAGAUCCAGGCAGCUGCCAGGAUUAAGUGUCAACUGCAGCUUAUCCUUCAGGCUGUGGGUGGUGAACAGUGACAGUGGCAUAGCUUGUUUUCUGUAUCUCUCAGCUGUCAUUUUAACUGCUCAUUCUCUGUGUUGUUCUGUUAAAUUGUCCUUAUCUCAACCCACAGAGCUCUACAGUUGUUAUUUGUAAUUGGUAAAGGAAAUCCACGUCUGAUGGAAGUGGUUGGAUGGCGUUCAUCAACUACAACAGGAAAUCAGUUGACUUCUUUGUUUGUUUUAAUAAGAAAAUUAGGAAUUUGCAUAAACAUUGUUUGGUUAUAUCCAAUAGAUGUAUAUAUUUGCCAAGGUUCCAGACCAGUCACUUACAAGCAAAGAGUUUGAUAUUCUAUGUCUCUCUUUCAGAAGCAGCAUAGGUGACUGUCCCACAGCUUGGCCUCACCUCGAAGAGACAAUUUCAGGUGCAACCUGACCUGCUGCUCUGUGUGCUGGGGCUUGAUCACAUUCCUGUUUGAGCUCAUUUCUGUCUGUUAAGAACAAUUCACAUUUGUUACCAGACUGUGUGAGGACUUGAGGGGAUCCUGAGAGAUACUGUGGGACUACUGGCAUUGUCUGGAUUAUCAUAGAUCGAUACUCAAUGAUGUAGAAAUUAGAUUUCAUUUUUUAUCUCUAACUCUAGGCAAGUCAGAUCAUACAGUCAUGUCUGCUUCUGCCUGUCCUCCUCCCACUCUUCCACCCCCUCAGAGUGAUCACCUUGCAAUGAAGUAUCAGAGUGGGUGGACCUGCAAAUUCAUCAAGUGCCUCUGGACAGUCUGGACAGGCAUGGCAGAACGAAGGUUUUAAAGUGAACAGAAUCCCAAGAGAUAUUUGCUUAUGAAGAUGACAGUGGACUUGAAUCUUCCAUGAAAAGGGCAUGAUGCUUGUUAAAUAAAUUAAUUUUUAGCCAAGAAGAUAGUUGAAAAUCAAUUCUUUCAUAGAAAGUGAGACAAAAGAGAAAGAAAAUAGUCUUCAUUGACUAUGUGGUCUACAUUUGAAUUUUUUAUAUCCUAACUGAAAAGGACUUAAUAGAAAUUUUCAAACACUAAGAAAUUGUG